rnacentral:lncRNA from 1 species
GGGAUAAAGAGGUCAGUCUAUCUAAAGCUAGCAAAUUGUUGGGAGAUACUAAGGAAAUCUAAAGCUGAAAUGCUAUUGGUGGCCCUUGAUUCCUGAACUCUGAUCACAUCUUAGAUGGUCCUCUGCCUUGCUCAUUUUCCCAUUUCCAUCUCCUCUUCCCCUCCUAGAUCAUGAGUGUCCUCUUUAGACAGUCUGAGAACUCCCUGCAGCCGGGCCCCACUGCCACACACACCCAUAUGAGCCCAUCACCGGGAUUUAAGUCCUUUCAUCCUAUUCCCUCAGACCAUUCCAGGGAAAAACUGUCCUCAGUCCAACCCCCAGACUCCAGCUACAAUACUGUGGGGGUUAGACUACUAUUCACAGAUGGGGUGGGCCAUUUGGGGGGCUGCUUUUUGGUGGUUGGCUUUUGGUUUUGUUUGUUUUUACUUACUGGCCAAAUAGGAUCCAGUUCUUCUUUCCACCCUCAGAGCCAUUUUUAUGAACGCCAUAUGGUUCCAUUUUGUACUGACAGGAACUGGGGACCACAGGCACAUAGCACACACCACAGCUACUGUGACUAAUAGCCCUGGCAGCUGUGCCCUCCUAACAGUCUGGGUGUGCAGUAUGAGUGAUGUCCAAAACCAGCAAGAUUGGAUUGGGCCUCCCGAUCCCUGGUCGUGAUGACACCACUGCACCUCUAGUCCUGUCUCUCCGGUCCCUUGAUCUUUCCUAUAUCCAUCUCCUUCUUUUAAUUCAGAUCAUCUCUUGCUGAACAGUUGCACCAGAUGUCUCUCUGCUUUCAAUCUUGUCUCUUUCAACCCAUCAACCAAAUGGCCACCAUUGGCCAUCUUUACCAGCUUAGGUCAUGUUCUGUGGCUCUUGGCUUAACUUCGUCCUUCCCUAUUGCCUAGAGGAUGGCAUUCUCUCUGUUAAUGGAGCAGAGCAUUUCACAGCCUGGUUCCCUACCCCUAGGUGUUCCUGCUCUGCUUCUGCAGGUGCCCAGCCAGAGGAGCCCACCUGUCCUCCCGGAAGAGAUGGCCCCUUUCACUUGAGAUUCCAGGAGAUUGCCCAGGGAGAAGGUGUGGAGGGAGGGGUUUUGAGAAGGAAUAUGAAGCCUCCAGUGGUGAGCAGUACCAGCAAGACAACCAAGAAGAGGCAGUUGGGUUGGUCAGUUAGGAGGUCUUGUCAUCCAUCUUGGGGUUGGCAGAGCAAUAGAGACAGACAUCACAUCACCAUGGGAAGAGAAGAGAAUAAGAGGAAGAAGUGGAGAUGAGAGGAACAGGUCACCUCUUCCAACUAUGAAGGGAAAGAGGUGGAUGAGUGGAAGUGACCCGUUUGGACUGGUCUUUUUUUAUGUAGCUAAUAUUUGGCCUGUGCUUUUCUGGAUCAGGCCCUGAUGAGCAUUUUGUCAACAAUAUCUCCCUGAAACCUUAAGAGAACAUCCUAGGGUUGACGUGGUUUUGCCCACUAUACAGAAGAGCUUCAAAAGAUGAAGGCACUUUCCCAAGAUGGGGGGCAGAGCUGGGAUUUGUGUCCCAUUCUGUUGCCCUUCAGAGCCUCACUUUCACCACUGUCCUUGUCUUCCCUGUAGUCAUGAGGGGAAGAAGGAGGUGGAGGGCUGCCUGCAGUUAGGGAGCUGGGGCAAAGGCACCAGGGAGGCUCCCGGUGCUCAGAUAGGACUGGAAGUCUGGGACACAUCAUUUUUCAGAGGGGGAAGAGGCCAGGGAAGAGAGAGGCUAUUUUUAAUAGCCAAAUAGAUAUGAGCCCAUUAAAAACCAGGAGGAAAGGAAUAAAAUGUUUAAUAAAAUCUUUAAGUAUCUGAGUGGAGGACCUCUCUAAGCUGAAAAGCAAGGAAAUGACACCAAGAAGAGAAAGGCCAACAGCGAACAGGGAUAAGUGAUGGCCUGUGUCCCAAGUGGCCUGGAGUGGACGGCACUAGAUGGACAGAUAGGGGCUUAGUCUUUCUUUUUUUUUUUUCGGUGGGGGCGGGCCUCACAUACUCAUGGUAUUACCCAUUUAGGGUCUUGAGGUUUGAGGACCCUAUGUAGACUUACCCUCAGUCUGUUGGGUGAGUUUGCUUCUAUCAUCUUGGAUUCUUGAUUAUCCCUAUUUUUUAGAGGAGAGAACAAACUUCAGUUCUUCCAGAAAGAACUGGCAAAAAUAGGCCUGUACUCCUCUGACUUCACUGUCUUCUUUACGCACCAUGCCACUUUCCUGAACAAUAUACAAGUUUACCAUGUAAUUAUUUUAGAACCCAGGGUCCACAUAUUUUUGUGGUCAAGAUUCGACGGGCAAAGUCCUCACACUGAGUUUUCCCAGCAAGGAUGCUUUCCACUCACUUGCUGGAUGGCUGUGGGUCACCUCCCCUCACUGGGCCUUGGUUUCCCCGUCUGUGAAAUGAGGUAGUUGGAUUAGAUAAUUCCACAGUUCCCUUCCAGCUCUAGCAUUACCCUCAGAUACCCUGGUGCCUAGAGCAGUAAUUGAACAAGGAGGAUGGGGACCCCAGGUUCUGGGUCAAGAACUCAUCUUGCAGCAUGGAGGAAUCGUGAUGAUGGCUGCAGCCCCCAGAAGGUGAACUUGGCAGGAGCUGGCUGAGAUGAUUUUUCUGCUGAUGGUGAAAUGUGCUGGCAGAGUCUAUACAGGUAGGUUGGUGUCCUGUUCAGGUGGUAUGUGCUCUGAGAAGGCUGGGACCAUAAAUGCUGUAAUCAGCCGGGAAUAGCUAAGCUCAGAGCCAGAGCCAAGAAGGAAAGGGUUACCCAAAAUUGAGGCAUGAACUGUUGAUUCACUAAAAAGAGAAAAAGUCCAUUCCAACUUCACCUCAGAGCACACACCCAAAUUCAAAAAUUAUUUUCAAAGGUCAAAAGGAAAAAUGAGCCCAUUAAAAACCAGAGGGAAAAGGAAUAUUUAACAAGUGACUGAAUGAGGGAGCCCAUUUAAGCUAAAAAGCAGCAAAAUGACAUCAAGAAGGCAAAGGCCAACCAAUUUGACUACAUUACACACACACACACACACACACACACACACACCUGAAGAUAAAUAUGAUCCUUGCCCUUGGGAGUUCAAAGAGUUAAGAAAAACACACAGACAGACACUAAAAUGAUACAUAGGAAGGAGAAGGCCAGAGAGGUGCCUGGGACAUGGAAGCAUGGGCAGCUGGGGUUGGUGGUGCAGGUGUGAAAUUUCAUGGGAAUAUCCAAGGAGGUUCCUAGAAGAGGUGACUGGAUGGGUAGGAGUUACUCAAGUAGAAGGCAGAGGCAGAGGUGAGAGCCAUCAUGGAUGAACUCAGACAGCUGGGGAUUGCUGAAGCAUGAAAUGAGAGGCUAGGGGUGGAGAAAGCAGAACCAGAUCACAUAGUGUUACUAUGUCUAAUUUAAGACUUGGGUCUUCAAUUGCAGCAGGGAGCCCCUGAAGCAUUUUGUGCAAGCAGGUGCCAUGGUAGGAUUUCUCUUUUGAGGUGAUUACUCUGGUUGCUUGGAGAAAUUUGGAGGCGUGUGGGCCAGAGAGGAGAUGAUAGAGGGGCCCUGGAGCUCUGGGAUUAAGUGUAGAGGUGAAGGGAUUAGCAGUGUUGGUGAAAAGGGACAAAAGUAAAUUAUGUACAUUUUAGCAAGUAACCUGAUCUCCAUGUUCUUUGGGAGGCCUUUUCUCUGCCCUCUGGGUACUGACUCCAGCUCUAAUUAGCACGGGUUUGUCUGCCUCGUGGCUAGGGCCAUGUCUUUCUCAUUUUCUUGUACCUUUCAGCACCUAGCAACAGGCAGCCAGCUAGGUAGGGGCAGAAUAAUUAUUUUCUGCUUGAAAUCCAGUGUCUGAAAUAGAGAUUCAGAAAUUUUUCUUUGUAUCAAAAAGACUUUGUGACAAUAUCCAGGGAGCAAUGAAAUAGGUAAGGUCCAGGUCACAGGCUUGAAUGGGACAUUCAGGGUCUCAGUAGCAGUUCUAUUUGUUGGUAUUGCCUAGACAUCAAAGAAUUCUAUUUCUUCGCUAUUUGGACAGAAGUCAAAGUCCAGAGAGAGGCUUGGUUUAGCUGGCUGAGCUUGGGCCUUGUGCCAUCCCCGAUAGGACCUGGGUGGUAAGAGGCAGGACCUGGAGGAGGGGCCUCCAUAGCUUCCAUGUGAGAGAACGGCCCAGGUCCCACCACAGCCACAUAAGAUAGAAAAUUUCCCUAAAAGUAAUAAGGGGCUUCAGGGAGGAAUAAGGCAUGCUAAAAAGCCAAAACUCCCAGAUAUCCAUUAGAAGAAGUAGCCAGUUCAGAGGCAGGAGACUUCCAGGUAAGAGAGGGGAAGGCCUGAAGUAGACCAGUGGGGAUGGAGAGAGAUCAGAACUUGUGGUAGAUAAAAACCAGAAAUAAUUAGUGAGUACUUAUCUGUGAGAGUGAGAGAGAAGGUCAAGCCAAAGGUAAUUCCCAUGUGUCUUGGUUUUGUUUGUUUGUUUGUUCGUUCAUAGAGACAGGGUCUCACCAUGUUGCCCAGGCUGAUCUCCAUCUCCAGGGCUCAAGCAAUCUUCCCACUUUGACCUCCCAAAGUGCUGCAAUUACAGGCAUGAGCCACCAUGCCCAGUCCCGUGUAUCUUGAGUGGAGUCCUGGGUGGAUGGUGGGGGCUCAGGAAGAGAUUUAGCUGGAAGCACUAGCCCAGGGCUGUCACCACUCAGAGUAAUGGGGACCCUAAGCAUAAGUGAGAUUACCAGGGAGAGUGUGUAGAGAAAAAAUGGGAGAGGGCUCAGGUCAGAAUCAUGAGUCAUAGUGACAUUUGAGGAGCCAGGUGUGGGCAGGCAAAAAAGGAGAAAUAAAAGGAAGGGCCUGAGAGAUGCGACAAACAACCAGGAGAGGGGGUUGCCAUGACAACCAAGUUAGGGAAGAGUUUCAAGGAGAAAGUAAUCAACACUGUCAAAUGCAGCAGAGAAUUCCAAUAAGAUAGAGAAUUUUUCCUUUGGAUUUCAUAAUUAGUAAGUUUUGAUGGCCUUAAUAAGAGCAUGUUGAGGGAGUGAUGGCCUAGGCUGGAAUAAUGGUGAGAUGUGAGAGGACAUGGAUCUGUCACUAGGAGUCCUCUAAGGAGUCCAGAAGGGAGAUUUGGAGAUGUGAAGGGUAGGGGCUGGGAGGCUGAGGCUAGGAAAGAUGAGCAGGUGUAUAGGCUCAGAGAAGAAGAAUCCUCUGAGAGCACUGAAAAGAAAGAGCCGGGAGGUGUCUCAGCAGAAAGACAGGGUGGUCAGCAGUGGGUGUGUGCAGAGAGGUCAGGAGGACCAGGGCAAUCCCUGAACUACUCCAGUGUGCACCUGCACAACCUCCAUGGUGCCUCUGGAAUUGGGUAGCAUGGUGGCCCUGCUGAUGAGCACCCCAAGGGGCCAUUGGGGGACCUCUGAGAAUCUCUGCCAGAGCAGUUUGGGUGGGAGUCGAUUAAGGAAAGAAGCAGCAAGAUCCAGGACUUUUAAUCUUAAAAGAGAGAGAAAUGCUGGCAGAUGAACAUUCUGGCGUAACCCCAUUACCUACUCAUAGAGGAGGAACUGGAAGCCAGAGAGGGAGAUGCCUUAUUGACACAGAGCACAAGUGGCAGGAGCUGGCUUCAGACCUCAGUCCAUCCGGUGUGGCAGUCCCUCUUCCCAGGACCAGGUGGAGCUGGAGAGAAGGAGGAAGAGGAGUCUGUGAGGUCCAGAUGGAGAUGCUCGGCAGGCCCUUUCCAAAGGUGGGAGGUGAGGUCGGCCUGGAACCCUACUGGAUGCUUAAGUGUCCUGCCGCACUGCUGAUGAAAGCAGGUCCCCACCGCAGUGUAUAUACAUUGUGUGUUUGCAUCUAAAACGUCUAUAGUUGUUUGAAAUGUUUAAAUCUUUAACCCAUCUGAGAUGUGUUUUCAUGUAUGGUGUGACACAGAGCUCUAAUUUGCUCUUUUUGCAGAUAUCCAGUUUGCUAAGCACCAUUUAUUGUUCCAACACCAUCUUUUCUCUCAAUUCCCUGUCUAGACUCCGGUUCUGUUGAUCUAUUUGUCUAUUUCUGAGCCAAUAGUUUGUGAGUGGAAAAACUUUCCCUUUUUUCAUUUUGCUUUCCAAAUUUUAAUCAGUUUACUAAUCACUAUGCUUCAUUCACAGACACACACACAGCAAAUGUGCUUUGUCCCUGGGCACACAAAUGAAAACACAGCACACAUGUAAAUCAGAGCUAAUUGGCUGAAAAUGAAUUAGAAUUUUUGAAUUAAAUUUUAAUUAUACAAGUAAUACAUGAAUACAUUUUCCUUUAAAUAAAAUUAGAGCAUUUUAGGUAAAGAAGUCUCUACUGGCCUCCCCAGCCUGACCUCAGGCCCCUUCCCCACUUUAGAGGCAGCUGCUGUUAGGCAUUUGCUGUUGAUCCAAAAUGUUCUCCUAUGCGCAUUGAAACAUGUCCUGUGUUCUAUUGUUGCUUUUGUUUGCUUGCAUAGAUGUGGUGGUGUACACACUGGAGGUGCUGCUCCUGAGCUCAGGGCACCUUACGGGACUCUCCUCAUGUCGCGUGUCACCUGCCGCAGCUGGGCUGGCAACCAGAACUGAUUGCUUAUUGAUCGACUAUUAAAAGGCUUCCAGUCUUGUUUCAAUAAGACAAACCACAUCAAUACAAUACCGAGCCUUUGAAUUCAUGAAUACAGUAGAGCUCUACGUUUAUUCUUAUUAUCUUGUAUGUCCUUCACUCAUGCACUGUUGUUCUCCCCAUAAAGAACUUGCCCAUUUCCUAAUGGGUUUAUUCCUAUACUUUUUAUUAUUGUUGUGAAUUAGUUUUCUCCAGCCCCCUUUUUUGUUUUGCUUUUGCUUGCUACAUUUCUUUUUCAUCUGCUUACUAAUCACUCUACUUCAUUCACAGGCACACACAAAGUAAAUAUUCCUCCUCCCUGGGCACAAACAUGCAAGCACAUCCAAACACACGGAGCCCACGUUAUUGGCUGAAAAUAAAUAGUAAUUUUUUAAAAAAUUGAAGUCGAAUGACACAAGCAAAACAUGAAUACGUUCCCCUUUUUUAAAAAAGAGAACAUUGCAGAUGAAGCUGGAGUCCCUUUUGGCCACCCACUGCCACCCUAUUCCCUUCCUCCUCUCCAGAGGUAACCACAGUAAUGGGCUCAAUGUGGACUUUUCUAGACGUUUCUAAAAACUUACAUAUAUAGAUACCCAGAGGAAAUAUAUGGCUAGGAGUUCGAGACUAGCCUGGGCAACAUUGUGAAGCCCCAUCUCUACAAAAAAUACAAAAGUUAACCAGGCGUGGUGGCAUGCACCUGUGGUCCCAGCUGCUCAAGAGGCUGAGGUGAGGAGAUUGCUUUAGCUUGGGAGGUUGAGGCUUCAGUGAGCUACUACCAUGCCAUUCUACUCCAGCCUGGGUGGCAGAGUGAGACCGUGUCUCGAAAAAAGAAAAGAAAAAGAGGGAUGCACUUGGAGAAGUUUCUUGGCUGCCCCCUUUCUUUCUGCCUAGGUGCUGUUGAGUGAAAACAUAGUGCUUGGAGCCCUGACAGCUAUCUAUCUUGUGACCAGGAGGGGAAGGCCAGGAGACUCAUGGUUCUCUGUUCACUCAGAUCUCAGAUACCUGGAACCACUGACUUUUGAGCCAGGAUGGUCUCGAACCCCUGACCUCAGGUGAUCUGCCCAUCUUGGCCUCUCAAAGUGCUGGGAUCACAGGCGUGAGCCACCAUGCCUGGCCGUGGCUGUUCUUAAGCAGGGAGACAGGUGUGAUCACUUUCAUUUAGUUAAGUUUCUUUGCCAGUGGAAGAAGCUCAACUGAAACCAGCUCAGGCACAGAAGGAACUUAAUUGGCUUCUAUACGCAAACCACAGGCCAAGCUAGGUUCAGUUGACCUUCCGGUCCCCCGGGGCCAGGGACUUAACUGGCAGCCUGCCCCUCUCCCAUCUCCAUGUCUCCACGUCUCUUUGCCUGCCAGCUCCCUCUCUCAGGGAUGCCUCUUCCACACACUGGCGUUCGUGACUGCCAAUGUUUCACACCUCUCAGGUUCAUGACCACAAAGAGAUCGAGGUAGGAGCGCAGGAACUUGGUUAAGCAUCAGGGCUACUUGCUUACUCAUUGUUUUGUCUAAUUUCUCUGUCUUCAGUGUCCUCACAUAGGAAAUGGGGAUAACAACAGCACCAGCUUAAUGCUGUGAGGGUCAAAGGAGAUGAUGUCCAUCAAGUACUUACCUCGGGGAUGGACACUAAGUGCUCCAUACAUGUUAUGAGCUCUCUCUGUUCCCAAGUCCAGAAAUCUAGACAAAAGCUUCCAUUGGCCCAGUUGAGUUGGGGUUCACCUCUGGCAAAUCAAUGAUGGCCAUUAAAGUGGGUUGUGCAAUAAAUGAGAAGGUGAAUUUCAAAGCAAAUAGGUUGGGGUGCAGAAUGAUUUCCAAGAAGGAUUGGCGCAGUUCUAGAAAAAGAACAGAGGUCAUCCCAUCACCACCGUGUUACAAAGACAAACAGGACCCUGGAGGACACCUCCCAGCCACCUUCUCCCACCAGGGGUCCUCAGCCUCUCUCCAGCCCAUGCCAGGAGCUUGUGUUCUCUCAGGCAACACCUGAGGAGCCAGGCAACAGUCCCUUCUGCUCUGGGAUACCUCAAAUUUACUCUGGGAGCUCUAGUAUCUACUAUGAGCUACAUCUCUUUGUGAUUCCUUUAUUCCCACUAGCUGGUCAAACUUUUAUUUCCUUUUAGGCAGAAAAACAGCUUCUGUAUUCUUCCCUGUUUACCAUUCUGGCAUCAAUUUCAAGUGCUCAGUCCCUCAAGCUCUUUCCUCUUUACAAAAGCCCGGCUACUGCAACAAAGCAUCCUGUCUGCUGUAAGUUUCAAGAGACUCUUUGAAACUACUGACCAUCUUUCUC